rnacentral:lncRNA from 1 species
ACCAAGUGCAGCUUUUUUGGAAAAGAGAAAGCUUGGGGGAAGAAUUGUUAAAAAAAAAAAAAAAAAAAAAACCCAAAAAAAAAAAAAAAAAAAAAAAAAAAAAAUUUAAACGAAAUACUGACAAACAGAAUCCAAUAGAACAUUAAAAGAUGAGUGCACCAUGAUCAACAACAUAAAAUUUACACAAGGAAAGCAAAGACAACCCAGUAUUAGAAGCUAUAUUGUGUAAUUUAUCAUAUUGAUACACUUAAAAGUCAAAUCAUAAAUACACUAUCAAAAUGCUAAGAAUAUAUUUGAUAGACUUUUUUAAAUAUUCAAGAAAGAAAU